UGGAGCGAAUCCCUAAAAGCCGUCCCAGUUCGGAUUGCAGGCUGCAACCCGCCUGCAUGAAGUUGGAAUCGCUAGUAAUCGCGGAUCAGCAUGCCGCGGUGAAUACGUUCCCGGGCCUUGUACACACCGCCCGUCACACCAUGAGAGUCGGGGACACCCGAAGUCCGUAGCCUAACCGCAAGGGGGGCGCGGCCGAAGGUGGGUUCGAUAAUUGGGGUGAAGUCGUAACAAGGUAGC
rnacentral:rRNA from 1 species